CAUCGCUGGGGUUAUGGACAAGGCACCAUGGGUCCCGAAUUGGCCAAAAAAAAAGAACAAGAAGUCCUCGGCAUAUGGCCGCAACUGAGCCCAACAUUUUUGUUGCUCGGCGAGACGGUCGUUAAAGGGAGUUUUGCCCCGUUGUACGACCUUUCUGGGUGCCGUCACGACAGCUUCUCAGCUGUCGCGACUGCCCCCCCCCCCCACCAAAUUGCAGGGGGCUCACUUACGGUCGUAAGGCCAUGACAAUUGGCCCAUCCCGGAGAAGGCGGGCGGGCCCCUCCGAAGACCCACGAGGGAUGCAGUGGCCCCCUUUUCCCUGAGGCCAAGGGAGGGGGGGCGAUGGGGGGAAUCCUUUAUUUUCUGUAAUUCGGCACUAGAACAACUUCCAUUUUUAUUUUAUUUUAUUAUUAUUUUUUGCCUUCCUUUCUCAAUCAAUUUAACCCGGGGAUCCUUCUGGCUGGUGCUGCUUGGGAUGUUUUUCAUGAUGCAUGUUCUCACUAGCUCUCCUUGCCCCUUUUCUCUCUUUCCUUCCUCCCUUUCUUUCCUCCCUGCCUUCUUCCCAUCCUUCCUUCCUCUCUUCCCACGUCCUUUUUUCUUCCCUUUCCCCUCCUUCUUUCCUUCCUUCCUUCCUCACGCCCUCCCUUCCAUUCCCUUCUCUUUCCUCCCUUCCUUCCUCCCUCUUUCUCUUCCUUCCUUCCUUCCCUUCUCCUCCCUCAUUUUCUGUUCCUCCCUUUCCUUUUUCCUCCCUCCCAUUCCCUUCUUCCCUUCCUCCCUUCCUUCCUUCCUUCCUCUCUUUCCCCUCCUUUCCUCCCUCCCUCCCUUUCUUCCUCCUUCUUUCUCUUCCUUCCUNNNNNNNNNNCCCUUCUCCUCCCUCCCUCAUUUUCUGUUCCUCCCUUUCCUUUUCCCACCCUCCCAUUCCCUUCUUCCCUUCCUCCCUUCCUCCCUUCUUCCCUUUCCCCUCCUUCUUUGCUCCCUCCCUCCCUUCCUUCCUCCCUUUCUCUCCCUCCCUUCCUCCCUCAUUCCCUUCUCCCUCCCUCCCUCACUUCCCCUCCUUCUUUCCUUUCUCCCUCCCUCCCUUCCAUUCCCUUCUGCUUCCUCCCUCCUCCCUCUCUCCCUCCCUCCCUCCCUCUUUCUCUUCCCCUCUCCCUUUCCAUCCCUCCAUCUUUCCCCUUUUUGCCUUUGCCGCAGUGGCCGAAACCGAACCGACCAAGAACUGGCUCUCGAUAAACAAGGACUCAGAUUCCGCUGCCGCGGCCUAACCCAGAAACUUAUGGCGCAGGAGGUGGUCCAUGCCCCUCAGCCUCCCUGUGGUGGUGGUGGAGGCCCCAAAAAUAUUACAUUUACAUCAGGGGUUUAUAUUACCCCCAUCCUCUCACGUUUCCCACAGCAGUUUUCCUGGGUCUCUUCCAGCUGCUCCAUUCAGAACGGGGCCAUUUUAAACCCUUCCUUUCCCCCAUCAGCCGAGCUCAUAAAAUCAGAAUUCCUAAGAGAAACAUCGGCAAAACGGCCUGCAACCAAACCUUCCUUGCAAAGAAAUCCAUCCCACAGACCGUGGCCAGAGGGUGGAUUUAUCUUCUUUUCUUUCAGCGGCCUCCUUUGCUACGCUCCCCCUUUUUAUAACCAAGGAAUGAAAAUGCUCUUUGCAAGAACCGGACUAACUCCUUCUUUUCCUGGUGAUGGGAAUGGCUGAAACCAUAUUUUUUGGGGGGGUCUUCCCCUGGACUCAGACUGCGUCCAUCCUUUUCUGGGUUCUUCUCACCCGC
rnacentral:lncRNA from 1 species